UGGAGUUUACUCCUUUAGAAUCGAUUUACAUAUAUAGGCCCGGGGUAUGAAAAUUAUGGGGACCAAAAUCGUACUAGCAUGUCACACGAAAUGCGUUAUGCGCCUGAUUGGCUCCUGAUUGCGUGAUGCGUGCGCGCGCCAAUCAAUAUCGUACUAGUAUGUCACACGAAAUGCGUUAUGCGCCUGAUUGGCUCCUGAUUGCGUGAUGCGUGCGCGCGCCAAUCAGGAGCCAACGCGCGGCCGCGUUAUCGCAGGUGACGCCGGGCUGCUGCGCCGGCAGUCCGCCACAAAGCCUCGUACUGAUCGCGCGUUUCUCUCAUUAUUGUAUUUUCAUAUAUUUGUUAGUCGUUUGUUUUGUGUCUCGUUAAUUUGUUAAUAAUCUGUAGUGUAUCGUGUUGUCGUAAUAUAGAACUAUUUCUCGUAUUGUUUCGUUUAAUUUUUUAUAUCCAGUAAACUCCAGUCGUGCGUCGGAGCGGACACACACACUUUUUACCUCCUUUUUUUAAGGUUUCGCAAUAAACAAAGAACGCAGCGACGGCGACUCACGUACAGUUCGACAGAUAAGAAGUCGACCGGUCGCAAAUUGCCCGCGCGAAUGGCGAGCUGUCACUUGUCACCGUGUCAGAGACGUCAAGCUGUCAGGCGAGUUGACACCCGCCGGGCGACACCGCGGAUUUACAUAAAACUGGGUCGCGGACCGCACUUCGGGAGGAGGCCAUUUAUCACAUUGUCGAACGGGCGACGGCACUUUUGAUCCGCUCAAACGAUGGACAUGUAAAUUUACAACGAUCGCAAUUACAUCCGGUUUAUUUCAAUUGGCCUGGUGAAUAACCAGGCGUCGAAUUUUCGUAAGGAUAAUGCCGGUUUUCCCCCGAUAAUACCAUAACAGAAUAUUCCUUUUCCAUUUUUUUUUCUUUUCAAGCACCAAUAGCUAAAGAAACGUUUACUAUAAACUAUGUACUUAUAUGUAUUUUUUAUCUCUGGAAUGCUCUUUAAAGCUCACAUAUUCUCUCAUUAUCUACUGUUUUAUUUUGUGUCGAAACAAUCUAUCUGUAUUUCUCAAUCGGAUGUUAGAGUAACCUUAAAAACCCUAAUCAAACCCACUAUUAACUUGUCAACACUGUUAUUAAGCAGGCAAAGGGCAGAUUUCAUUAUCAACCCGACAUUUGACACUUGCAAUAAAUCAUAAGAAAAGAUAAACAGAUUUAGGUCAAGCAUAGUUGAUAAUGCAAAAUAGCUAGUGAUUAUUCAUAGGUUCGAAUCAUUAUCAAUG